rnacentral:rRNA from 1 species
UCCUACGGGACGCAGCAGUGAGGAAUAUUGGUCAAUGGGCGGAAGCCUGAACCAGCCAAGUCGCGUGAGGGAAUAAGGCCCUACGGGUCGUAAACCUCUUUUGCCGGGGAGCAAGGGCGGGGACGUGUCCCGGCCCGGAGAGUACCCGGAGAAAAAGCAUCGGCUAACUCCGUGCCAGCAGCCGCGGUAAUACGGAGGAUGCGAGCGUUAUCCGGAUUUAUUGGGUUUAAAGGGUGCGUAGGCGGGCUUUUAAGUCAGCGGCAAAAAUUGGGGGUCCAACCACCCCCG